rnacentral:hammerhead_ribozyme from 1 species
GCACAGCUGAAGAGUCCCAUUAUAGGACAAAACAGUUGUCCAGUAC